CAGCAGCCGCGGGAAUACGAAGGGUGCAAGCGUUAAUCGGAAUUACUGGGCGUAAAGCGUGCGUAGGCGGUGAGUUAAGUCUGCUGUGAAAUCCCCGGGCUCAACCUGGGAAUGGCAAUGGAUACUGGCAAGCUAGAGUGUGUCAGAGGAUGGUGGAAUUCCCGGUGUAGCGGUGAAAUGCGUAGAGAUGUGGAGGAAUACCGAUGGCGAAGGCAGCCCCCUGGGCCAAUACUGACGCUCAUGCACGAAAGCGUGGGGAGCAAACAGGAUUAGAUACCCCGGUAGUCCCUGUCUCUUAUAC
rnacentral:rRNA from 1 species